rnacentral:rRNA from 1 species
CACUCCUACGGGAGGCAGCAGUGGGGAAUUUUGGACAAUGGGCGAAAGCCUGAUCCAGCCAUGCCGCGUGCAGGAUGAAGGCCUUCGGGUUGUAAACUGCUUUUGUACGGAACGAAACGGCCUUUUCUAAUAAAGAGGGCUAAUGACGGUACCGUAAGAAUAAGCACCGGCUAACUACGUGCCAGCAGCCGCGGUAAUACGUAGGGUGCAAGCGUUAAUCGGAAUUACUGGGCGUAAAGCGUGCGCAGGCGGUUAUGUAAGACAGUUGUGAAAUCCCCGGGCUCAACCUGGGAACUGCAUCUGUGACUGCAUAGCUAGAGUACGGUAGAGGGGGAUGGAAUUCCGCGUGUAGCAGUGAAAUGCGUAGAUAUGCGGAGGAACACCGAUGGCGAAGGCAAUCCCCUGGACCUGUACUGACGCUCAUGCACGAAAGCGUGGGGAGCAAACAGGAUUAGAUACCCCAGUAGUCCC